UUUUGUUUACGUAUUACUUUCUUUCGAUCGUGUCUGAGCAAACGUAACUCAGGCACGUGGUUUGGUUGUUCUUGGUGGGCGAAGAGGACGAUUUAAAGACUCUUCGCGUGUUGUACCGGGGUGCCGGCGUUUUAAACCAGCAUUCCAAUCGGCACUGGCUGGUCGGGUUUUGGCGGAUUUUAAACCGUGAAGCUCUUAAUAGCAGUGUCGUACCUUUGUUAACGCUUUGCGGUAUGACUUAAAUCAUAUGCGUGAACGUUAAUGUGGUUGUACGGGGGUUGUUCUGUGGUACACGCCUUAAAGCGUUGUCCGCAAACAUCGGAUUUUUGUGUGUCAGACUGACAGACUUGCAUUACCUGAAAUGGAGCCUGUACAGUCGACUUCCUUGUCGUGUUGUUUCGAGCGUUACCGUCUGACUGUCGUUCAGACACAGCUGGUCAACGUAUCGUUGUUGUUGUGUUAUUGUCUGAUUUCCGCGUUCAGACCUGUGACGUCUGACAGUCACGGCCUGAUAUACGCGCUGUAUAUAUUUGAAUUAGCUGUAGUAGCAGUCACCGAUCUUAGUUAUAGUAAAUUUCACUUGGCUAUAUGCUAUCUUCCGCUGUAUCUCUUGGACGCAUAACCCGCGGCCUGGGCCGUUCGUUAUGUCACCAAGAAAUAUGUUACGCGAUGCGAGGUUUUGUAGUAUUGUAGUUUAGAGCUUGACUUGCAAACGUUGUUUAUUAUACAGUAAGUAUAGUUUAGUGCGUGGGUUCGAUUUGGGUUGUUGUUUUUUUUUAUUAAGUUUAUUAUUUUGUGGCGGGUAACCGUUGUUUACAUUCUGUGGAUAGAUGUUUGGAGCUGGAGACCAGCUCAAAAUUUUGCCUAUGUCAAAAUUUUAUUCGGGGAGGGAUGUACUGUAACAAUAUUUUUUUAAAGCCUCAUAGGUGUUAAUAUAUUUUGUUUCUAAUAUAAAGGCCAUCUAGCGUUGAACUAUGGUAAUACUGGCAUUGAUCGUAUUGACGUGGGUCUGAAGGCUAAUUAGUUGCUGAUAGGAUCGACAGAGGGCGUGGGUUAGCUCGCUAUCUGCAUUUUAUUAAGUAAAAGGGUUACUUUUAUUAAUUUACAGAAAUUAAAACCUAAUUAAAUAUUUUACAACUUUCUUCUUUCCUUUUGGAAGUUAUUAUUAAGUAUUUUUUUUAUUGAAACGAGUUUAGGAAGCCGUAUCUCCAUCGUGCGCGCAACGAAACGCAGCGCAGCAGUGAAAGUAUCUUCGGUUUGAUCUGUCAGCUGUCUUUUUCAAUUCGGAUGAGAUGGUGUAGGUCGAUUCGUUUUCUUCAAAGGCCAGUGAGCCACAUUGUUUUUAAAUCGCGGUUUAAACCGCUUAAUCCUAUUCGAUGUGAAUCGUUUUGUCAAGAGUGAGCCCCGGGUGCAUGGAAAUUAUGCAAGUACCUAUCCUCCGAAGGCCUAUUGUCUGCCCCGGGGCUUCACGACUUACUACUUUACUAGUCCACGCGGUCGUCAGAGUCGAGCGUUUUACUAGUUUUACACAAUGUUCCUACUUCCACCACCUGGUCGCGUUGUCCCAAGCGCACCCUGAGGCUGUCUGCAGCUGAGAGUGGACUUGUGGGAGCAGGUCCGGACUGUUCCCCGGUACUUUCCCGGUUCGAAGUAUGGCGUCAGUGCAGGAGUGUGGUCUUGCAGACGAGGUCAGAGUGUUCCCUGUUAUUUUAUUAAGGCGCCCAAUAAUAAUAAUUUAGUAUUUUUACCUAUAAUUUACCAAGGUCUUCCAGCAUAUUGAAACACAGACUCACCCCCUGUGCUCUAAAUUAUUAUAUAUUUAAGUUACGACUGAGCUAGUUGCUAUUAUAAUAUUA